rnacentral:misc_RNA from 1 species
GCCACUUCCAAACCCAACAAAGGGUAAUGCACAAUAACUGAAGAGAAGAACCCUCCAUAUCAAAGGAAGAGCAUAGCUCCUUUACCUUCAGAAACCAUUGUCUUAAAUUCCAGCACUGAAACUUUAGAACAUAAAUAAAAUCCCAAACUUUAUUCCACACAUCCAUAGUUGCUGGACAGUCGCGGAGAACAUGAGAUAUCAUCUUAGCAGGCGCACCACAAAUCGAACAUCCUGGAUCAUCAAUAAAACCCCUACGAGCCCUCUCAUAAUUUGACAUCAGUUUCUCAUGGACUACCAACCAGAGAAAGAAACGAAUUCUCUGAGAUACUUUAGCUCCCCACAAGACCUUCCACACCUUAUCAACUUGAGGAUACUCGUUAAAGCAAGAAAGGAAAUAUGCUGAUUUCACCAAAAAAUUACCCAAAGAGGUGACACUCCAAGCCAUUUGAUUCAUUUGAUGGGCAUCAUUAGAAAGAGAAAUCGCCUCCAAUUUCAUAUAAACAGAUUCAUCAAGGAACGGUCGAAUCAAAUGCCACUUCCAUGUCCUACCAUCCCACAUCUGCGCAACCGAGGCAUCUCUAAUGGCAUCUGGAAUUGCAUGGAUACACAUAUCUGCCAUCCUAUCCUCACCAAUCCACACAUCAUCCCAAAAUUUAGUAGUUAAAUCAUUUACCACAGAAAUACAUACACCCCGCCUUAAG